UUUCCCCUGCUGUGUUCGUGAUCGGGAGAGGCAACUUAGAACCAACAAAGAAAGAAGGGAAGCUGUCCCUUGCCGUGGCUGUCAGGCCCUGGUUUCGGGGAAGACUUAAGCGGCAAUACGGCAUCCACCUGUUUACCCGGUUCAAGUUGAUCGCCUGACACGGCACCGUGCGGGGGAAAC
rfam:Deltaproteobacteria bacterium RIFCSPLOWO2_12_FTLL_60_16 rifcsplowo2_12_scaffold_17026, whole genome shotgun sequence.